CCUGUGACAUACCACUUGUUGCCUCGGCGGAUCAGCCCGCUCCCGGUAAAACGGGACGGCCCGCCAGAGGACCCCUAAACUCUGUUUCUAUAUGUAACUUCUGAGUAAAACCAUAAAUAAAUCAAAACUUUCAACAACGGAUCUCUUGGUUCUGGCAUCGAUGAAGAACGCAGCAAAAUGCGAUAAGUAAUGUGAAUUGCAGAAUUCAGUGAAUCAUCGAAUCUUUGAACGCACAUUGCGCCCGCCAGUAUUCUGGCGGGCAUGCCUGUUCGAGCGUCAUUUCAACCCUCAAGCACAGCUUGGUGUUGGGACUCGCGUUAAUUCGCGUUCCUCAAAUUGAUUGGCGGUCACGUCGAGCUUCCAUAGCGUAGUAGUAAAACCCUCGUUACUGGUAAUCGUCGCGGCCACGCCGUUAAACCCCUACUUCUGAAUGUUGACCUCGGAUCAGGUAGGAAUACCCGCUGAACUUAAGCAUACCAAUAC
rnacentral:rRNA from 1 species